rnacentral:rRNA from 1 species
GCAAGUCGAACGGAAAGGCUCCAGCUUGCUGGAGUACUCGAGUGGCGAACGGGUGAGUAACACGUGGGUAAUCUGCCCUGCACUCUGGGAUAAGCCUGGGAAACUGGGUCUAAUACUGGAUAUGACCUUUCUCCUUAUGGGGUUUGGUGGAAAGUUUUUCGGUGUAGGAUGAGCCCGCGGCCUAUCAGCUUGUUGGUGGGGUGAUGGCCUACCAAGGCGACGACGGGUAGCCGGCCUGAGAGGGUGAAC